ensembl:lncRNA
UAGUUCGGUAGCCGGGUGGGAGGGAACCGAGUUUGUGCCGCUCCGCCAAUAGGGGGAAGAGGGUGUGUCACAUGCAAAUAACCCCGUGAAACCCAGCCCCUCCCCUAAGGCCAGACACAGCCCCUGCGCUAGGUCCCUGCAGAAAUGGGGAGGGGAUGAGAUAAAUAGCUGGGAGCUAGAGUUCGCUAGAGGGUCUAAGACUCAACUAAAUGUUUCCCGAUUUCUUGAGAAAGACGGUGGGGGUGGGGGGAGCUAAAACGUUCAUACCGAUCCACCAGGGCAGUGGUUAGGCUUUCUCUUUCUUACCCAGAAUCUUAGCUGGAAAGAAGACUGCAGUCCUGUAGCAGUUGACAGCCAAGGAUCGCAAAGAACUUUAUGCAUCGCUUAUCCUUGUUUUGCAAAAGACCAGUUACCUAAAGCUUCGGCAGCGGGUGGGGGAUAGAUGUCUAAGUACAUUUACACCAUUAGUCGGUUAGAGGGAAACAAAAGACUCAAAACCUGUGGGUUAGCGGUUUCCUCCUCCAUCUAAAGCCCCUUCUCGUCGUAGACUCUCAGCAACGAAAAUUCUUUUAUUUGUCCAGCUCGACAAGGCCAAAGAGACAGGUUUGUCUUCCACCCCAAAGUCCUUCUGGGGCGGCUGGUUAGAUAAACGCAGAGCUCGGAGCCCUGCCUGGGAACGAAGCUUCAGAGAACAAAUUGCCAUUUAAAGCUCUUGGGCUAGACCUGCCUCUUGCAAAGCUACAAAUGAAUUCAGGAUUUUGGUGUUCACGUUCUGGGGAGAGAAAGCAGAUGUAACUGGGGGAAACUCAGGCUGGCAGGGUGUGGGGGGGACGGACAAGUGGGAGAGUAAGGUCUCCGGAGGGGCUAGCCGCGCUCAUGCUGGUUGAAGGCGGGUUCCGACGUGAGACACCCCGAAACCUGCUCCCCUGUGAGAACAAAGGCAGGUGCCGAGCGAGAGCCUGGUUGGUGCCGGACGCUCCCCGGCGUACUCCGGGCCCCAGAGAUUGCUCUGCCCACUGGAGCCGAGUUCCGUGCACACUGGAACCCCAGCUCCCCACCCAGCCCUGGCUGAAACCACAUAAGACUGUGCGUUAUGACAUCACCUGUUUUCGGGCUGGAGAACGCGAUCAGUAUUCUCGGCUUCUGCUUUUCUUAAAGGUCGCUAGCGUACGAGGAUCCGUGAAGGCCUGCAGUUGGCAGAAUGAAUCUGUGGAGAUGAUUUACACGAAUGAUUUCACUGGUACAAUAGUUCUUAGGAUUUGCCAAGAUCUUGGAAAAUAAAGGAGAUGCUUCACCCGACCAGUGAGGAUCCUCUUUGCCACACCUUUGGAAAUGUUGUGGAUGGGGAAUUAAAGGAAGUGGUGUUGCCCCACCCGGGGCCAUCCCAGAAGGAUUGUGGUUGUGCUGGACGUGCUGUUGAUGCAACAACUCAACUGUUGUUUCUGUCUAUUCGAAACCUGUCACUUUGCAUUUUCUUUCUCCAAGAAGAUCCAAACAUCAAGAGACUCCCAUGUCUUGGGGGAACUGGAACGCCUAGGAAUGGAAACAAAUGGAAAUACAUUAUACCAGUGGAACUUCAGCUGUGACCUGAAAUGUGUUACCUAAGAGCUCUGUAAGGGAGAAAUUGAAAACUUUUUUUCUAUCUUAAUAUUAUAUAAUCUAGUCACUGUUGAAAAACCCUUCAAAUUUCAUUUUUUUUAGUAAUUACUUUGUAGAGUUUUUUGAGGAUUAAAUGAAAAAAUUUAUGUAAAGUGCAUAGAACAGUGUCCCUCCUGUUAUGACCACUCAAUAAAUAUUACCUAUUAUUAUUACUUUUAAAACUU